CAAUUUAAAUCGUGUCAGGGUAACCUGGUCACGAAUUGUAGUUUGAUGAGGUAUGCUUGGUGGGCGCCUGGAUCAAAGUCCUUUGGAAAAGGGUAUCAUAGAGGGUGACAAUCCCGUCUGUGGUCCAGAUAGCGGUCUAUCGUGUAAGCUACCUUCAAAGAGUCGGGUUGUUUGGGAAUGCAGCCCUAAGCUGGUGGUAAAUUCCAUCUAAGGCUAAAUAUUCGUGAGAGACCGAUAGCGAACAAGUACCGUGAGGGAAAGUUGAAAAGCACUCUGGAGAGAGAGUCAAACAGCACGUGAAAUUGUUAACAGGGAAACGUUGGGCACCAGUACGCGCCUCGCGUAAAAUCAACCAUCUCUUCCCCAAGGGUAUACAUCUGGGUGGAUGAGCCUUAAAAAGCCAUUGCCCGGGUGGUUGCCCGAGGGGGGUGGUGCACUUUUGCGUGGGCGGGUCAACAUCGGUUAGGACCAUUGGAAAAUCCUCAAGGGAAGGUAGGUAAGGGACCUUGUCCCCUACAACUUAUAGCCCUUGUUGAAUGCAGUGAUCCUGACUGUGGAGUCGCGACUCGCGCCUUCUGGGCAGGCCCCCAGGCCCCUCUUCGCUCCUUGGGUCCAGACAGCUUGCUGACUGGACUUGACAGGGUGAGGAUGUUUGGGUUUGGUAGGGUUCUAGCGAGUCUCGGACGUUGGCGAAAUGGUUCUCAACGACCCGUCUUGAAACACGGACCAAGGAGUCUAACAUGUGUGCGAGUAUUUGGGUGAAAAACCCGGAUGCAUAAUGAAAGUGACCACAGGGGAGAAGGGUUUGGUCCCUCCGUAUGGUGGGGUCGGCUCCGCAUCCUCGACCGAUCCGAUUGCCCUCCGUGGCGACGGGUUUGAGUUUGAGCAUAUCUGUUAGGACCCGAAAGAUGGUGAACUAUGCCUGAGUAGGAUGAAGCCAGAGGAAACUCUGGUGGAGGUCCGUAGCGAUUCUGACGUGCAAAUCGAUCGUCGAACUUGGGUAUAGGGGCGAAAGACUAAUCGAACCAUCUAGUAGCUGGUUCCCGCCGAAGUUUCCCUCAGGAUAGCAGAAACGCGUUAGACAGUAUUAUGAGGUAAAGCGAAUGAUUAGAGGCCUUGGGGGCGGAAUGCCCUUAACCUAUUCUCAAACUUUAAAUAUGUAAGAAGUCCCUGCCACUUGAUUGGGCUUGGACACGUCGUAUGAGCGUUUCUAGUGGGCCAUUUUUGGUAAGCAGAACUGGCGAUGUGGGAUGAACCAGACGGGAGGUUAAGGUGCCGGAAUGUACGCUCAUGUAGACACCACAAAAGGUGUUGGUUCAUCUAGACAGCAGGACGGUGGCCAUGGAAGUCGGAAUCCGCUAAGGAGUGUGUAACAACUCACCUGCCGAAUGAACUAGCCCUGAAAAUGGAUGGCGCUCAAGCGUACUACCCAAACCUCCCCGCCAUGGGUAA
rnacentral:rRNA from 2 species